rnacentral:misc_RNA from 1 species
GCUCGAGUACUUCUCGACGAGCACAGAACUCAGAAGAGGCGAGUGCUAGAUCGCGAUCUGCCCCAUCAAUAAGAAUAGGAAGUGGGGUAACAGGAGGAGGUUGAAACGAACCAGGCGAGUUUGAUUCUGCCAUGACCUUGGAGAGGAAAGCUGCGGCAGAGGGGGAGACAGAGAGAGAAGGAAGAGACGGGCGUUUGCCGAUGGAGGGUGGCGGCGUGCGACUGCGGCGGAGAGGAG